rnacentral:rRNA from 1 species
AGUGAACGCUGGCGGUAGGCCUAACACAUGCAAGUCGAACGGCAGCACAGUAAGAGCUUGCUCUUACGGGUGGCGAGUGGCGGACGGGUGAGGAAUACAUCGGAAUCUACUUUUUCGUGGGGGAUAACGUAGGGAAACUUACGCUAAUACCGCAUACGACCUACGGGUGAAAGCAGGGGAUCUUCGGACCUUGCGCGAUUGAAUGAGCCGAUGUCGGAUUAGCUAGUUGGCGGGGUAAAGGCCCACCAAGGCGGCGAUCCGUAGCUGGUCUGAGAGGAUGGUCAGCCACACUGGAGCUGAGACACGGUCCAGACGCCUAAGGGAGGCAGCAGUGGGGAAUAUUGGACAAUGGGCGCAAGCCUGAUCCAGCCAGACCGCGUGGGUGAAGAAGGCCUUCGGGUUGUAAAGCCCUUUUGUUGGGAAAGAAAAGCAGCAGGUUAAUACCCCGCUGUUCUGACGGUACCCAGAGAAUAAGCACCGGCUAACUUCGUG